UUUAGAGGCUGUAGAGGCAGUAUCAGAGGCUAAAGAGCGAUAUCCAGCUUCUACUAUUUCCAUUCAUUAUUCUCUUUAUAAAGGAGAGUCAGCUGAUGGAGUCAAAACUACCACUGAACCACCCAUACAAGUAUGUAACCAAGCCCGACCCAACCCCCACUUCAAGUUCAGAAUAAGCCUACGAUGGGGCUGGAUCAGAUGAUGCAAUCGGUACCUAUUUCUUUGAUACCGGAAUUAGGCCUUGAUUCUUUAUAUCUUAUUGAUUAGUUAGUUCUUUUCCUCUACCUC
rnacentral:lncRNA from 1 species